AGUGCUGACGUAUGUGGCUUUAACAACCACAUUCAUUUACACCUGCCCAGUUUCAUCUGAAAUGCGUCUGAAAGACCACAUCCUGAAGUGGUUUGAGCGAUCGGAUUUAUAUCCGUCUCGAAACCGUUUCGGAGGGCAUUUACACCUGGUCUUUUUACGAUCGGAUAGUUAUCGGAUCACAGAAAACGCAUGAAGUGACCAGGUGUAAAAACCCCCUAGUACAUGAUUGUGUCCACAAGCUGUAUUGUACUGAGGCUCUGUGCUGCCACACAUGACUCAUUUCCUAUCAGGAUCUCGUCAGAACUAGAAAAAAUGUCGCUUUAUUUAGAAGACAUCGUGUAUUCACGUGAAAAGAUCGCGUGAUUACGAGAACAGCAUCACGUCAUUGUUCCGAUGGAGUUAUAUCCACUCUUCUGGGAAGGCUUUCCGCUUGAUUUUGGAACAUGGCUGUGUUAAAUGAUAUGGCUGUGGGAAACAUUUUGAGAUUACAUUGAAAUAAACAAUUAACAUUUAAUAUAGAAUAAUAAACAAAAUGUAUAAGAAACAAA